rnacentral:lncRNA from 1 species
GAAAAUAGAAAGGAAUAGGGGGAACAGCAGUUGGGAUUGUGGGGACUGAGGGAAUGCUUGGCAGAGGGGGUAGUCCUGUUGGCAAUGUGGUAGGAAGUGGAGGAAGCGCCCCAGGCCAUGGGAAUGAUUGUCGGGAUGGCGUUGGGAGAUUAGAGAAAGAUGGUAAACUUCGCGGUUGAGGCUGCUGCAGAAGGUGACGAGCUGCUACCCCAACAUCAAUGCUUGCAAAUGACAAAGCAAUCAAGAAUGCUAAAGCAAGGCAAUUGAAAGAGGCCAUUUUUGUUCAGAGAUUUCGAAACAAAUGAAGCAGAUGAAACAAAGUUCUUUAUCUGAAUAGUUGUGGGUGAAGAAAACAAAGCACGGUAUUGAGGUUUAUAUAGGCAUUGGAGCAAUGAAUAGAAAUCCCCUGCCCCUAAACAAUGCCCCAUGCAUGCCCCCAAACCAAAAUAGCGCCACAUGUUUUUUAUUUUUUUCCAUUUUAGUUGUAGUUCAUUUUUUAAAUAAAAAUUUAUAAUGAUUUGGAUGAAUUUUUAACUUAUUAUCAACGUUUUUGUUUUUGUUUUAUUUUCUAUUAAUUUUACCUAUUCUUUAAUUAACAAAUUUAUAAUGACUUGGAAUUAAUUUAACAGUGUUUUUUUUUAUAAUCGUUCUUAUAAUAAAAUUUAAAAAGGUGGGAACGAGUCCCACAAUGACAACAUGAUCCAUGCCUUUAGUCAAAGGUUCAGAUAACAUCUGCUCAGUGUUAAUGUGCUCAAUGACGACUUUCUUUUCUUUAACAUAUUCCCUUAUGGCUAGAUACUUAAAAUCGAUAUGUUUACUUCGACUUUCACUUUUGUCGCUCUUAGCCAUAAAUACAGCAAUUGAAUUGUCACAAUAUAUGAAAUAAUCGAAACCUAUAAUGACUCAGCUCAAAAAACUCGAGCCUCAAACCCAAAUUAAAUUAAAUCAAAAUCAUAAUUUAUUAUAUACAAUUGCAUAAAAUUAACAUAAUUUAAGUGUCAUAGUGCACAUUAAAUUAAAGUUUAUGUUUGACAUUAUAGAUUGAAGCAAUAUUCAUGUGUAAAAUUUUGAGAUUUAUUUCCUUAAUGAAAGUAAUAUUUCAAAUAGAAUACUUGAACAAUCCUCCAUGUUGGCAAACUUUAUGUACAUUAGAAACGAACUAAAUAAUUAGAAUAAAUCUAAAGUAUGGCUUACAUUUAAUUUAUUCAUAAUGUGACUUAAACUUUGGCCUUCAAGAUUUCACGGUCUCAAAUUAUGUCUUAAAAUUUUAAGAUCAUUUUAGGUUUGUUAAAAACAUCAAUAGUUUAGAAAGUUAGAAUUGUUGCUUGAGGCGUGGAUUUCCCUAUUCUUUAGGAUAUUCGUGGAUUUACUAUCCCUCAAGAUUUAAUUUGUAUCAUGUGCAAUGAAAAAAUUGAAAAAGAAAAUUCCCAUUUGAAUGGAAUUGAGCUAUUAGGCUCAGGCCUCGUGUGCGCAUAUAUAUUCUCUUAUUUUGAGUCUUACAAGUUUAUAGUAAACCAAAUCUAUAUAAACAUCAUUUUAUAAGUGUAUCUAAGAUAUGUUUAAUAUGUGUAAUUCUUUAAAAUACAUGAAAACUUCAAAUGUGGUUUAGGUCAUUUUCAGAUUUGUCUUAUUUAGGUUCAAAUCAUUCGAAUUUGAGGCUAAGUUUUUCAUGUGUAAUCAUUAUUGAUCCGAAUCAUUUUAGAUUUUGAUCAUUUUAAGUUCUAAUUAUUUUGUGAUCAAAUCAUUUCAAGUUUAGAUAAAUUUGGGUCAAUUUUGAAUUUGACUUAAUUACGUAAUUAACCUUUUUUAUAAUAAAUUGAGCUGAAUGAACUUUAGAUUGGAAUUUAUUUAGUGUACCUUUGUGUUUAAGUUGAAAUUUAAACAUCUGUAUUAGAAAUACACAUGUUAAUACAAUUUUAUGUUAAAGACAAUAAUACGACAAAAUUAAUUUGGGAGAUAAACAUGUUAAUUUUUUAAUCCCAACCAAAAUUGUACAUAAUUGUUUUAUAUCAUAUUAAAUACAUGUAACGUCUUAUAAAAAUUGUCAAUAAAUUAUGCCUAGCGACAACGUUAUUCAAAUCUAAUUUCAUUGUUAAUACCUAUUUCUAUUUUUCUUCUAAUAUCUUCAACUUUAAAUAUAAAGGAAUUGAAAUUUUAAGAAUUGAGAUUUCUUUUCUUUAUAUUAGUGGACAUUUGAUUUUUUGUUUGAUUUUUUUUACUAGAAUUGAUGCAUAUCUUUUCAGAUUUAUCAAUAUUUUUUAAAAUUAUUUAAGAUAUGUAUAUAAAUAUAUUACAAAUAUAAAAUGAAUGAAACUAAAUACAUUUCAAAUAUAAAAUAUUCAUUAAUAAACUUAACAAAUAAAAAUUUAUCAUUCAAAGAAAUCCAAAAUUAUUAAUAAUAAUCCAUCAUUUAAUAUGAAAUUCUAAAGAUUUAGCUCAUUUACUUAAUAAAAGAAGGUGAAAGGUGGACGAAUAUUUUUUAUUUGAUAAUCAGGUAAAUGGUUUUUUCUUAAUUAUAUUUUGAAUGUGAAAGUAUAUUCCAUUUUUUUUUAAAAUUUACAUUCCGAUGUAGCGUUUUUAAUUAGUCACGUUUCAAUUAAGUUUUUAGCAUAAUAGUAAAUUAUUAAAAGUUUAAUAUUUUUAAUAUUAUUCAUGCAUAGGACGGUGCACUAUGUUCUGGCAGGUGUGACAGGAAUUGAUCGGAAUGAGUUGGUGCAAUUGGUACAGACCAAAAUUUUUACCAGUGUAGAAAAAGGGUUUUGGGUGUUUCGCAAUGUUAUUGAAACCAAACCAAACAGACCAAAAACCGAUGAACCCGAGAACUAGAGUAAACUGCAGUUAAACUGCAAAUCAUCAGCUGAUUAAGCCGCAUUUCGCAUUUUCUAGACUGGAAAACAAAAAUUUCACUUCAGAUCCCUUGAGCUUUUGUUACACUUCUUCUCUUAACUCAAAAUAAAACAAACCAUACAAAGAAUAAGCACUGUUUCUUUUAUUACUUUUUUAUUACUCAGUGAAAAACCUGGACUUAUAACAUUCAAUCAAAGGAAAAAAAAGACAAAUUAGGAAAGAUGAAAGAUGGGGAGAGGGUUUUAAAAUUCAAAGCCGUCAAAAUAGAUGAGUUUGGGGUUAUUAAUAUUAUUUUAUAUUGUUCAAUAGAAAAUUAAUUGUAUCGGUGGUUGAAUCUGUGAGAUCAAAAAUUAAUUAAUUGAUUAAUUUAAUUAUCAAUCUAAUUUUAAAAAUAUUAAUAUUUCGGUAUAAAAUUAAUACAGUGCACACAAAUUAAUAUAACCGAAAUCUGUACGAAACCGAGCACCUUAAUUUAAUACAUAAUUUGACAUUCAUAUAAAAUAUUAUCUUGGAAAUAUAUUGAAAGAGGAAAGUAAUCGUAUGUAAAUGGAUAACUUGGAAGAGAUAAUGAAGCAGGAAUCAUUAUAUUAACAGUGGCAUCUUCUCGAUGUACGGCGGCUCACUAUUUUGACUGCAUUUAUCGUUUGAUUCUUUUCUUAAUUAGCCAAACUCAUGUUAACAAUGGUAUAACAGUAAUUAAUUACUUCAUGGAUAGAACAUCAAUAUAUAAAUACCCCAUAUAUAAUAAGCAACAACGUUUCAAAAUACACCAAAUAAUGGGAAUUGGAGAACGCCCAUUUAUACAAACAAAUAUAAGUGGGCAAAAUCAAUACUCAUAAUAAAGACACAAAGACGACUAAAAACCUUAUUAAACUAGAUCCAGUAUGCAGCAUAACAGAAAAGGGGGUAUUUCAAGGAGUAGAGCGAGAAGGUGGUGGAGAAAAGAAAGGAAUAGAAGGAACUGCAGUUGGGAUUGAGGGAAUGCUUGGCAGAGGCGACAGUCCUCUUGGCAAUGUGGUAGGAAGUGGAGGAAGCGCCCCAGGGUUUGGGAGAUAAGGGAAAGAUGGCAAUGGUGGAAAAGAGAAAGGAAUAGGGGGAAUUGCAGUUGGGAUUGUGGGGACUGAGGGAAUGCUUGGCAGAGGGGGCAGUCCUGUUGGGAAUGUGGUAGGAAGUGGAGGAAGCGCCCCAGGCCAUGGGAAUGAUUGUCGGGAUGGCGUUGGGAGAUUAGGGAAAGAUGGUAAACUUUGCGGUUGAGGCUGCUGCAGAAGGUGACGAGCUGCUACCCCAACAUCAAUGCUUGCAAAUGACAAAGCAAUCAAGAAUGCUAAAGCAAGGAAAUUGAAAGAGGCCAUUUUUGUUCAGAGAUUUCGAAACAAAUGAAGCAGAUGAAACAAAGUUCUUUAUCUGAAUAGUUGUGGGUGAAGAAAACAAAGCAUGGUAUUGAGGUUUAUAUAGGCAUUGGAGCAGUGAAUAGAAAUCCCCUGCCCCUAAACAAUGCUCCAUGCAUGCCCCCAAACCAAAAUAGCUCCACAUGUUUUUUAUUUUUUUCAUUUUAAUUUUUUAAAAUAAAAACUCUGUAAUGAUUUGAAUUAAUUUUUAACUUAUUAUCAACGUUUUUAUUUUUGUUUUAUUUUUAUUUUACAUUAAUUUUACCUAUUCUUUAAUUAACAAAUUUAUAAUGACUUAGAGUUAAUUUGAGAGAUUUUUUUUUUAUAAUUGGUCUUAUAAUAAAAUUUUACAAAGCAGAAACAAGUUCCACUGUGAAAACAUGAUCCUUAAAUUUUUGGAGAUAACCAUGUUAAUUUUUUAAUCCCAACCAAAAUUCUAAAUAAUUCUUUUAUGUCAUAUUAAAUACACGUAACGUCUUAUAAAAAUUGUCAAUAAAUUAUGCAUAGUGACAAGGUUAUUCAAAUCUAAUUUCAUUGUUAAUACCUAUUUCUAUUUUUCUUCUACUGUCUUCAACUUUAAAUAUAAAGGGAUUGAAAUUUUAAGAAUUGAGAUUUCUUUUCUCUGUAUUAGUGGACGUUUGAUUUUUUAUUUUAUUUUUUUAUUGGAAUUGAUACAUAUCUUUUCAGAUUUAUCAAUAUAUUUUAAAAUUUUAUAAGAUAUGUAUAUAAAUAUAUUAAAAAUAUAAAAUGAAUGAAACUAAAUACAUUUCACAUAUAAAAUAUUCAUUAAUCAACUUAAGAAAUAAAAAUUUAUCAUUCAAAUAAUCCAAAAUUAUUACUAAUAAUCUCAUUUAAUAUGAAAUUUUAAGGAUUUAGCUCAUUUACUUAAUAAAAGUAGUUGAAAGGUGAAUGAAUAUUUUUUUUAUAAUCGGGUGAAUGGUUUUUUUCUUAAUUAUAUUUUUAAUGUGAAAGUAUAUUCUAAUUUUUUUUAAAAACUUUACAUUCCGAUGUAGCAUUUUUAAUUAGUCACGUUUCAAUUAAGUUUUUAGCAUAAUAGAAAAUAAUUAAAAGUUUAAUAUUUUUAAUAUUAUUCAUGCGCAGGACGGUGCACUAUGUUCUGGCAGGUGUGACUGGAAUUGAUCGGAAUGAGUUGGUGCAAUUGGUACGGACCGAAAUUUUUACCAGUGUAGAAAAAGGGUGUUGGGUGUUUCACAAUAUUAUUGAAAGCAAACCAAAAAGACCAAGAACCGAUGAACCCGAGAACUAGAGUAAACUGCAGUUAAACUACAAAUCAUCUGUCGAUUAAGUCGUAUUUUCACAUUCUUUAAACCGGAAAAACAAAAAUUACACUUCAAAUCCCUUGAGCCAUUGUUAUACUUUUUCUCUGCACUCAAUGAAAUAAAACACAACAUAAAAAAAAUAAGCACCAUCUCUUUUAUUACUUUUACUACUAAAAUAACUUUUUUUUUCUUGUGAAAAACCUAAGAUGGACUUAUAACAUAUAAUAAAAAGGGAAAAAAAAGACAAAUUAGGAAAGAUGAAAGAUGGGGAGAGGGUUUUAAAAUUCAAAGCCGUCAAAAUAGAUGAGUUUGGGGUUAUUAGUAUUAUUUUAUAUUGUUCAAUAGAAAAUUAAUUGUAUCGGUGGUUGAACCUGUGAGAUCAAAAAUUAAUUAAUUGAUUAAUUUAAUUAUCGAUCUAAUUUUAAAAAUAUUAAUAUUUCGGUAUAAAAUUAAUACAGUGCACACAAAUUAAUAUAACCGAAAUCUGUACGAAACCGAGCACCUUAAUUUAAUACAUAAUUUGACAUUCAUAUAAAAUAUUAUCUUGGAAAUAUAUUGAAAGAGGAAAGUAAUCGUAUGUAAAUGGAUAACUUGGAAGAUAUAAUGAAGCAGGAAUCAUUAUAUUAACAGUGGCAUCUUCUCGAUGUACGACUGCUCACUAUUUUGACUGCAUUUAUCGUUUGAUUCUUUUCUUAAUUAGCCAAACUCAUGUUAACAAUGGUAUAACAGUAAUUAAUUACUUCAUGGACAGAACAUCAAUAUAUAAAUACCCCAUAUAUAAUAAGCAACAACGUAUCAAAAUACACCAAAUAAUGGGAAUUGGAGAACGCCCAUUUAUACAAACAAAUAUAAGUGGGCAAAAUCAAUACUCAUAAUAAAGACACAAAGACGAUUAAAAGCCUUAUUAAACUAGAUCCAGUAUGCAGCAUAACAGAAAAUGGGGUAUUUCAAGGAGUAGAGCGAGAAGGUGGUGGAGAAAAGAAAGGAAUAGAGGGAACUGCAGUUGGGAUUGAGGGAAUGCUUGGCAGAGGCGGCAGUCCUCUUGGCAAUGUGGUAGGAAGUGGAGGAAGCGCCCCAGGGUUUGGGAGAUAAGGGAAAGAUGGCAAUGGUGGAAAAGAGAAAGGAAUAGGGGGAACUGCAGUUGGGAUUGUGGGGACUGAGGGAAUGCUUGGCAGGGGGGGUAGUCCUGUUGGCAAUGUGGUAGGAAGUGGAGGAAGCGCCCCAGGCCAUGGGAAUGAUUGUCGGGAUGGAGUUGGGAGAUUAGGGAAAGAUGGUAAACUUUGCGGUUGAGGCUGCUGCAGAAGGUGACGAGCUGCUACCCCAACAUCAAUGCUUGCAAAUGACAAAGCAAUCAAGAAUGCUAAAGCAAGGCAAUUGAAAGAGGCCAUUUUUGUUGAGAGAUUUCGAAACAAAUGAAGCAGAUGAAACAAAGUUCUUUAUCUAAAUAGUUG